AGUAGACGGGAGAAUAGCAAAGGUGGGGCUGAGAGAGAAAGUGAUGGGCCACUAGGCGCAGGCAAGAUGAGCAUAGGAGUAGCAAUGGAGGUAAGAUGUGUGUCAAAGAAUGUGUGUUAGUCUGCUUCAUUCAGUAUGUUUGUGUAUGUCAGUCUGUAUGGGUCAGUGUAUUUCUGCAUGGGUCAGUGUGUGUCUGUAUGGAUCAUUGUGUGUCUGCAUGGGUCAGUGUUUGUCUGUAUCAGUCAGUGUGUGUCUGCAUGGGUCAGUGUGUGUCUACAUUGGUAAGUGUGUGUCUGUAUGGGUCAGUGUGUGUCUGUAUGGGUCAGUGUUUGUCUGCAUGGGUCAGUUUGUGUCUGCAUGAGUCAGUGCGUGUCUGCAUUGGUCAGUGUGUGUCUGUAUAGGUCAGUAUUUGCCUGUAUGAAUCAGUGUUUGUCUGUAUAGGUCAGUGUGUGUCUGUAUAUGUGUCUCUGCAUGGGUCAGAGUGUGUAUAUGGGGCAAUACAUGUGCGUUAGUUAGCAUGGAUCAGUGUGUGUUUAUACAUGAGUCAGCAUGUGUGCUAGUCUGUAUGAGUGCCUAGGGUGGGAAUAAUGCUUGCACUGGCCCUUCUUCUUAACCCCCCUCCUUCUUACUCCCCCCUUCUUCUUACCCACCCUUGUUCUUCUUACCCCCCUUGUUCUUCUUACUCCCCCUUCUUCUUACCCACCCUUGUUCUUCUUACCUCCCCUUGUUCUUCUUACCCCCUCUUCUUCUUACCCACCCCUUCUUCUUCUCACCCCCUUCUUCUUACCCUACCCUUUCUUCUUACCCCCACCCCUUCUUCUUACCAAUCCCCUUCUUCUUACUCCCCUUCCCUGUAGUGUGGCCGAGCUACUCUCUGGCCGAAGUGAUAGGAGGAGCUCGGCCACGCUACAGGGGAGGGGAGAAGCUGUGCUGCAGCCACCAGAGGCUCUUAACAGAGCGCUCAGGCGGCUGCCACAUAAGAACCAGCCCGCUGCGGCCGGUUUCAAAAUUAUUUAGGGCGGCCUGGAGGGCAAUUGCCUCCCUGCCCUCCGGUCCAGGCCGCCCCUGGCGUACAUUGAAAUACAUCCACUCAUUUUGUAAAUAGGCUUCAAGAUACAUUUCUUGAUACUCUAAUACUCUGUUAAACACACCUAAGAGGCUAAGACAAUAUUCAUUCAUCCUUUUACCCUUAUGUAAAAAGUAAUGACUUAUUGUGGGAUGGAGUUUCAAGUAUUUUAUUUGCGGUCAGAUAGGAGAGCAAUUAUGAUUUCUAUUCCAUAAAUCAUUUUAUUUAGGGGAGAUUUUCCUUAAUUUGUUGAGUGUUCAGGCAAUAAUUACAAUUUGGCCCAUUCAGUCCCUAAGUAUUUAUGUUGAAAGAUUUUACCUAGAAGUGUUGUGUAUUGUUGUAUUUUUAGGCUGGUUUUCCUAAACCUAGUUAUACCAACUGUCAGGCUUGGAGUAACCCCUACACACAGUGAGAAGUAUAUUAGCAAAAAUAGAAGGAAAAGCAGGAUACAUAUACCAGUCCUUAGAGUGGCCGGGCUUAACAUGUGCCUAAAAAGGCGAGAAAAUUUAGUAAUAAAGGAUGCCUAGGUCAAUGGAUACAGAGGUACUCAAGAACGAGAAUAUAAGCCAAAGUCAAAGUGAUACAGAGAAUCAGAAUAGUAAAAAUAUAAAACCGGUCCAGCAACAAUACAGAAUAAUAAUAUAAUGCUAACAAGAACCAUAACAGGGCAAUGAUUCCUAGAAAGAGGGGAAUUUAUAUAUGGCAAAGAAGAAUACUAUUGGACACCAUCACCACCCCGCACCAGGACACACAAAGGGGUGUGAUCUGUGCAGGGUAGACCAAGGCAUCCAACAAUAAUGACAUCACUAAAGGGGGAUUAUAAAAUUUAUACUGUGAUUCCAAAGGACGUCUGUAGAUGGCACGAGGUUGCCAUGGAAAUCCUUUAACCUCGCAGAUAGUACAGAGCUGUCUGCACUUCCGUGAGGUGAACGCAACAUGACCCCUGAGCUAGAGGUAUCCAGUAACGUGGCGUUCACCUCACGGAAGGGACUGGGAUCUUGGUGGCUGCCAUGUGUCCCAGGUAUGACAACAACCUCCACUCUCACUGGCUCACUCAGUUCAUCUACUGCCUUCCUGCUUAAAUUGCUCGUUAUCAUGGCACUGACAACAUCCAAUUCUAAUCUGCUGAAAAUAUGCUGUGCCAGAUGGAUAACUAUUCUACUUGCGUUAAAUGACCUUAAAGGGAAACUAUAGCCCCAAAAAUGAUCUGCUUUUUUCCAGGACUAUAAGUUACCUGCAAUAAUAGUGACUACUGCCUGCCUUGUCCUCUUUUCCUUAUUAAAAAUUGAAUACUAACAAGCCUUUAUUUCUUUCCAGCUUUGAGACACUGUUGUUGGAGCCACCCGGCUUGCCUCCUUUUUCGUCAGCAAGCAUGCUAAUGUCUUCCAACUCUUCAUCCUAUCCAGUGCUUCUCAUAGAGUGCUAAGCUCCUCUAACUAAAUGUUUCUUAUAGAAAAGCUUUGAAUCCACUGCUUCUCUAUAAGUAGCAUCAAAGGACAUUUAUUGUCCUCAUGCAAUGUGUGAGGACAUCCAACAUCAAAGAACCGAGUCUGACUCGUUUGUUGGUGCAGAAGCACCAUCUAGUGGCUGUCAGGAAGGUGUUUAGACCUGUAAUGUAAACAUUGCUGAAAUCCAAAUCGGCAAUGUUUCAUAUUGCAGGACAAUACGGACAUAUACGGUCACUGCACCCAGACCAGUUCAUUGAAGUGGUCCUGGUCAGCAUAGUGGUCCUUUAAAACAAAAGUGCCCCUGUCAGCCCAGAUAAUUUUCUAAUAAAUACUAGUAAAAUUCUAUACUUACAAUAAUUAAACAUUAUUCCUUGGCUACUAAGGAGGUGAUUGUGACAGGUUAUACUUGAUGUAGCGCCCCAGUUUCCCUGUCUCCUGUUCAUCACAGUUGCCUGCAGAGAUUUAUAAAACAUUGUGCAUUUGAAAGGCCCCAACCUGCCGAUACCAUAUUUUGAAGUAUUUUUACAACAAUGUAUUAAUAGCAUAAAUGUAUAAUAGUGGAGUCAACUAGGAUUGGGUUGCCCCUUACAGACUAAAUGAAAAUACAGUUAGGUCCGGAAAUAUUUGUUGUUUUGUCUGUUUAGUCUCUCAGCUUUAAUUUGAGGGUAUCACCAAAUUGAGGAAUGCAUUUAACACAUACCCCUCGAAUAAAACCAAAGGGAUUUCUAUAUUUUUCCACAAGGACUGGGGUUUUCAACUAACGGCAAAAUAUGCAGAUGACUUAGAUAGAAUAUUGAUUCUCGUAGGAACAUUACAUGGAUCCCCACUGAUGACUGCCACAUUAUAUGCUCCCAACAAAGCUGAGACUGUAUGGUAGCCCAGGAAUGAGAAUUACCCCCAUGAUGGCAUACCAUUUGUACUAGUAGACAACCCAAGGUAUUGCAAAUGGGGUAUGUUCAGUCUUUUUUAGUAGCCACUUAGUCACAAACAUUGGCCAAAGUUAGCGUUAAUAUUUAUGUGUGAAAAAGGCAUAAAACUAAUUUGAAUGCCAAUUUUGGCUAGUGUUUGUGACUAAGUGGCUAGUAAAAAAGUAAAAAAGACUGGACAUACCCCAUUUGCAAUACCUUUGGUUCAGCGAAGUCUCCCGAGUAAAACAAUAAUGCCCAUGUACAGGUUUUAUGGUGUCUUGGAAAGUUACAGGGUUAAAUAUAGUGCUAGCAAAUUAAAUUAUCUGGACUUUCUGCCUGUGUUAUCAGGCAGGUCCUGCAAAUUGUAAUUAAUAAAAUGACUUAUGUAAAAAUAUUACAUAAAUAUAUAUAUGUAGAAUUAAUAUAUAUAUAUGUAUAUAUAUAAUUUUUUUAAAUUAUUUUUAAUUUAUAUAUAGGUAUAUAUAUAUAGUGAUAUAUACAUAUAUAUUUAUGUAUAUAGAUAUAUAUAUAUUAAUUCAUUCUAAGUGUAUUUUGAUAUCAAUAUAUAUAUAUGUAUUUAUUUUAUAUUAUAAAUAUAUGUAGAAUUAUAAUUAUAUAUUUAUUUUUAACUUAAUAUCAUUCUACGUGUAUUUUGAUAUUAAUAUAUAUAUAUAUAAUUCUCUAUAUAUAUUAAUAUUACAAUACACUUAGUCUAUGUGUAUGUAUGUGUAAGUGUAUAUAAAUAUACAUAUAAAAUCGAAGUAUAUAUUAUUUUAUUUUACACGGUUCUAAAACUUUUAAUUUAUUUCAGGUAGCAGGGGGACUACCUGUCAUUCCAGGCACUCCCCCUGCUGGCACUGCUAUGGACGGCUAUUCCGUCCAUGUGAUCGUGAGGUCCGGAUCGGCAGCAGGGGGGAUCCCUCGGAUGCCAGGUAAGUCCCCCCAUUGCAAUCAGUGGCGUGGGAUCCCCGGUGAGUAGGUAAGUUCCCUGGACAGCGUGGACGUGCUAUGCCGCCUGCUGGUGUUUAGAGUCGGGUCCCCAAGGACGGCAUAGCACGCCUGCCGUCCUUAAGGGGUUAAUAACGAUUGAUAUCAUUCAAAAACUGGCCAAACAGUUUCUCAACCCACUGUAGACUGCAUAAAAAGCUUCCUCAAGCUCACUCGACAACAAGCAUGCAUAUUAGAUACACUGUUCACAGAAGAGGAAGUUCAUAAAGCCAUCAUCUCCACUCCUAAACACAAGUCCCUAGGACCUGAUGGACUAUCCAAUUAUCACUAUGUUAAACUAGCUUCCACUUUACUCACACAUCUCACAAUCUUAUUUAAUAUUAUCAAACACAUGGGCCAAAUUGAUAUCAUUCAAAAACUGGCCAAACAGUUUCUCAACCCACUGUAGACUGCAUAAAAAGCUUCCUCAAGCUCACUCGACAACAAGCAUGCAUAUUAGAUACACUGUUCACAGAAGAGGAAGUUCAUAAAGCCAUCAUCUCCACUCCUAAACACAAGUCCCUAGGACCUGAUGGACUAUCCAAUUAUCACUAUGUUAAACUAGCUUCCACUUUACUCACACAUCUCACAAUCUUAUUUAAUAUUAUCAAACACAUGGGCCAAAUCCCACAAGAGAUGCUAGAAGCCCAAAAGGUUUAAGUUUAUGUGGGCCGCAAAGAAAAAAAUGUAAAUUUUCAUAGAAACGUAGGUUUAUUUUGAAAAGUACAGUAUUAAAAAAAAAAAAAACAGCGACCCCCUCUACUAAACCCCAGCGUAAAGAAUACACAAGCAACGUAUACCCUUAAUGGAAGCGAAUUAGGGAUAACAACACAUGAAAAGGACUUGGGAAUUGUUAUAGACAACAAACUAUGCAACAAUGUGCAAUGUCAAUCAGCAGUGGCCAAGGCCAGUAAGGUAUUGUCAUGCAUGAAAAAGGGCAUUCAUUCUCGGACAAGAAUAUAAUUUUGCCUCUUUAUAAAUCACUGGUAAGACCUCAUAUUGAAUAUGCUGUGCAAUUUUGGGCACCUGUUCUAAAGAAGGAUAUUAUGGCACUAGAAAAAGUGCAGAGGCGGGCUACAAAAUUAAUAAAAGGAAUGGAACAUAUCGGCUAUGAAGAAAGGUUAACAAAUUUAAACCUAUUUAGUUUAGGAAAACGUCGCCUGAGAGGGGAUAUGAUAACAUUAUACAAAUAUAUUCGGGGCCAAUACAAACCAUUGUGUGGAAAUCUAUUCACAAACCGGACUUUACAUAGGACACGAGGCCAUGCGCUUAGACUGGAAGAAAGAAGAUUUCGCCUAAGGCAAAGGAAAGGUUUUUUUACUGUAAGAACAAUCAGGAUGUGGAAUUCUCUGCCUGAGGAAGUGGUUUUAUCAGAGUCCAUACAGAUGUUCAAACGGCUACUAGAUGCAUACUUGUAAGAACAGAAUAUUCAAGGAUAUAAUCUUUCAAUGUAGGGUAAUAACUGCUUGAUCCAAGGAUAAAUCUGACUGCCAUUCUGGGGUCAAGAAGGAAUUUUUUUCCUAGCUUGUUGCAAAAUUGUGCUUCAAACUGGGUUUUUUUGCCUUCUUUUGGAUCAACAGCAAAAAACAAAUGUGAGGAAGGCUGAACUUGAUGGACGCAAGUCUCUUUUCAGCUAUGUAACUAUGUAACUAUGUAAUUAUGUAACUAUGUUUGUAUAGUCCGUCACAUUGAAGCCGAGUAACUUCAGCCGAUGCCCAGGGAUGGGAGGCUGUGAGCAGGAAGGUGCUUAAGUCCGUUAGGAGCUGCUUUGAUCGCCGGCGUGCAGGGCGGUGUAGCCUCUUGGGCAAGCAUUUUCCAGGUUGCUGUGGUUGUACGGUGGGGUGCUGAAGUAAGUCUCUGUGGUCUCUUGUGAGGGUACUCCUCGCGGUAAGCGCAGAUCGUCUGGAGGGAGAUUAAGUUGUGUAGGGGUAGUCCCUGCUGGUAGGUAGGGCACCUCACAGCUGGUCUUGGUUUGCGGUUGCGAGGUUUAUAUCGUGUUGCCCGUCUCCUCCUUCCCACCUUUUUAACUUUGUUAAUACCGCGGCUGGGAGCCGGGCGUCUGUGCUUGGUCUCUCCUUGGGUUGCCGCUCCUGUGAAGCGAUCCAGCCUUUCUUCCAGGGAGAGUUACUGAUCAUUGUUCAGGGGGUUACAUGUGGUGUCCGCCAUGAAUGUUGGUGCUGUGUCGGUUAUAUGGGACAGGCACUGUUGUAUACUUGCCGCUUUGUCACAGGCUUAGGUUGCCGGGAUAUCCCUCACCGGUGGGGGGGAGGGGCAAGUGAGUAUGCCGGGGAGACCUGCAGGCCUCUGGAAGGCCUCAGGUCUAUCCCCGAUGAGAUGCCGCUGAUGUCGGUCUAGGUGCUUGGUGCUCGUGUCUGCCAUGUGGAGCUCCUUUCUCCAGGUCGUUCGAUUAGGUAGGAUUUUGCCCCGUUUUUGUCCGAUUAUAAGCGUUUUUGCAUGGAGCUCUUCUCCUGUGCGACCGCUCAGCAUGGUAGCUUGGCUCCACCCAGGGGCGUACCUAGAGCAUUUGGCACCCGGGGCGGAUCCUGUGCUUGGCACCCCCCCCCCCCCCCCCAAAAACCUGUAAAAAAUGUUAAAGGUUUUAUUUCUUUUAUUUUUACAAUUUGUAAACUUUGCAAAACCGCUGUCAGCCCCUCCUACAAAACCCUUGUCCUGCCCUGCCCCUCCUACAAAACCUCUGUCCUGCCCCUUCUACAAAUCCUGUACUGCCCCAUCUACAAAACCCCCGCAACCCCCUUCCACAAAUCCCUGCUUAUCCCCCCUUAUAAAGACUCCUGUCCCAAUACAAAACCCCCACCCCCUUCUACAAAAUCCCUGCAGCCCUACACACACAUUUACAGGCAGACAGUCACACACUCAGUUACAGACAGACAGUCACACACUCAGUUACAGGCAGACAGUCACACACAGUCACAGGCAGACAGUCACACAUACACAUUUCCUCCGUGCGGCCAGUUUAUCAGCUGUUUGCUUGAGUGAGCUGUACUGGCCGCACGGCACCCUAACUACCAUGGGACACUGUGCGGCCACAGCUCACACAGCCCCCUCCAGCCAGGGCCGGUACAAGGAUUUUUGCCGCCCUAGGCAAAAGUAAAGUUUGCCGCCCCCCAUGUGACAUCACAAUGCCCCAACCAUAUGAUUUGCCAUGUUAACUAACGCCAGUGCUGCAGUGCCGCCGUGUUUACAUUAAAAGGCCUGCAGGGACAGGCUAUAGACACCAGAACCACUACAUUAAGCUGAAGUGGUUCUGGGGACUAUAGUGUUUCUUUAAUGUGAGGUAAAUUAGAGCUUAGUGCCACGAAUAAUAUACUAGAUUGCCUACUUACAACCAGAUGAGGAUGAUGAUGGGCUCUAGCUGCAGUCUGGCUCCACUGGUCUGGUGCAGAACAGGCUCUCUGGAGGCGGUUUGUAACUGUGGUCACAAAAAUCAAUGUUCUGGGAGAACGGGAAGCAGCUCCAUUUUUUGGGGGUCCUUUACACAGCUCAAGGUCUGGGUCCCAGGGUCCACCUUCAUGUUCCACCAAUGAGUUUGUUCACAGGGGGUGGAGUGUGUAAGGGAUGUCCUGAUAUGUGUGUAAGGAAUGCAUUGUGUGAAAUUGUGUUUGUAUGUGUAAGGACUGCAAGGUGUGUUUCUGUGUAUGUAUGGGAUGCAUUGAAAGUGUGUAAGGGGUGCAUUGAGUGUGUGUAAUGAAUACAUUGUGUGUUUCUGUGUGUGUAAGGGAUGCAUUGUGUGUAACGGUUGCAUUGCUUGUGUAUGUGUGUCUGUGUGUUUUUCUGUGUGCAAGGGGUGCAUUGUGUGUAUGUGAUGUAUGUCAAUCUCUCCUCCCGCUCCAAUUUCCUUCUCCUCCUCCCAAUUUCUCUUUCUCACCCCCCCUCCUAAUUUCAAUUUCUCUCCCCCCUCCUAAUUUCUCUUUCUCACCCCUCUCCUAUUUUCUCUUUCUCACCCACCCUCCUAAUUUCUCUUUCUCACCCCCCUUUCUCUUUCUCACCCCCCCUUCUUUCUCUUUCUCACCCCCCCUUCUUUCUCACCCCCCCUUAUUUCUCUUUCUCACCCCUCUCUCACCCUUCUUUCUCCCCCUCCCCCCUACCUCCCUGUAGCGUGGCCGAUCCCAGUAUAGCCGGCGGGUACAGGGAGCUUUUGUUUCCUGUACCCGGCCGGACUAACAGGAAGUGCACACUGAGUGUGCACUUCCUGUUAGUCCGGCGGGUACAGGAGACAGCUGCUCUCUGUACCCGUCGGACCAUGCUGCAGUGAGGGAGCUGACAGGAGCGCUCCCUCCUGUCAGCCUCUCCUCAGGCUGCGCCCGGGCGGUGCGGUCCGCCCUCAUGGACGCACCGCCCGGGCAAAGCUGCAGCCGCCUGAGGCUCUUCACAGAGCGCUCGGGCGGCUGCAGCAUGGGGGGGGGCGGGGGGCUGGCCAUGGCACCCCCCACCCGGCUGGCACCCGGGGCGGACCGCCCCCCCCUUAGUACGCCACUGGCUCCACCUCCCCAGAUAUAGUUUUUAUGAACAAAAAACCUCUUCCCAAAAAGGUAUUAUCAAUUGACAAGUCCACCAUAUAUGGAGAAAUGUGCCUAAAUACUGACCACAUCUCCAACACUUUGUAUCUUGAUUUGUACAGUUCUUUAAUUUAGCUAAGGUACUUGGUACCCAAUACCAUCUAUUAUGAAUUUUAUAUUGUACCUCUCUCAAAUUCAGAGCAUGAAUAUGUUUAAAUACUAGAGAGGCUGUCCAUUCAUGGUAAUGCAGUUCUAAACCUAGAUCUUUUUUUUUGCAAUACAAUUAUUACCUUUGCUCAUUAUCGAUAAAAUGUUUACAUAUUUUGAGAUAUAGCCUUUAAAAUUAGGUUUAUUAUAUAGCAAUUCUAGAUGUUUCAUUGCCUCUGAAAUACUAAUUGGAAGAUACUUAAAAAUUAGAGAACUUAUUCUUAAAUAUUUAAAUAGUUCUCUCCCUGGUAGAUUUUUUUCACAAACCAAAGUAGAAAAUGGUUUGACCUUAUUUACAUUAAUGAUGCCCUUUAUGCUAUAUAAUCCACACCAUUUAUUUAGAUUUAUAUUUUCAAUAUUAACUUCAAGAAUUUUUAAAGAUAAGGAACCCAACAAGUCUUUAUAUGUUUCCAGUCAUCCAAUAUGUCCAUUAAAGAUUUUAGUUCUAGAAAGCUAUUUUCUCAAUCCCUCUGUAAGCCCAAUUACCAGAACAGAGAUCAGCAACUUUUCUGUGUGAUCAUGGCGUGCAUGAGUCUGCUAGCUUUAUAAUAUUUAAAAAUAUCUGGCAUACUCAUACCGCCUUGUUUAGUAUUUAGAUUUAUUAAUUUCCAUUUUAUCAUGGGUUUCUUCACGGACCAUAUACAUUUUAAAAAUAGGGGAUUAAUUAUUUUGAGCCAAUGUUCCGAACAUUUUAAAGGAAUUAACAUGAAGAAAUAGUUCCAGCUUCGUAAUAUGUAAGCACGUACUAGAUUUAUCCUUCCCCAUCAUGAAAAGUUUAGCUUUCUCCAGCUAAUUAGUUUUUCAUUCGAUUGUUGUAUUAAAAGGCGAAAAUUGUUUUCGAGAUGAGAAUUUAAAGAAGAAUAUUUAACAUCUUGAGCCCAGGUCAGACCAUAUUUUCGUAUAUACUUCCACUUCUUUUGUUUGAAGGUUUUUGGUUAAAAAUACUGACUUAUCUAAAUUAAUUUUGUAACCUGAAUACUUGGCAUAAACAUCUAUAUCUAAAAUGAAUGCUUCCAAUGAAUAUUAAAGUUAUUAAUAGAUCAUCUGCAUAUAAAUUCAGUUUGCUUUCACUGUUAACGGUAUGAAAACAUUUAAUAUGUUGAUUCCUUCGUAUAUUAAUUGCUAGCGGUUCUAAUGCAAGGAUAUACAGUAGAGGUGAAAGUGGACACCCUUGCCAUGUCCUGUUUUUUAUUUGGAAACUUUCUGAAAAGAAAUUAGAUCAUUUAACUCUGGUUGAUGGAUUUACGUAUUGUCACAGUUCCCGGUUCACUCCUUAGGUGAUAUCCCCUUGUGCAGUACCAUUGAUCACCAUUUUCCUCGUUAGGUGCUAUUCCCUAUUUUUAGGAACAUUAAGCACGUCAGCUGUCCCUUGUUAGGCCCCUUUAUAGGUCCCUUGUGAGAUCAUUGUUUCUUUGUUCCUGUUGCAGUUAGUCUCUGCAUCCUGUUUUUCUCUUUGGGUCUCACUGAUUUUUGGUAAUUGACAAUUAUUAAAAUAAUCUUUUACUGCUGGGUUAUAGGUUUUUGCCGGUAAGUGAUAUAGAUUUCUAUAGUAAUUAGCGAAUGCCUUCCCCGAUUUUAUCUGGGCAUUGUAUUACUUCUCCCUUUUUUUGUAUUUUAGUUAUUAGCCUGUCAGCCUUUUCAUUUUUCAACCUUUUUGUGGUUAGUUCGUUAACCUUUUUACCUUUAUAGUACCAUUUACACUUCAGUAUUUCUAAUGCUCUAUUUCUAAUCAAUGGUUAUUGAUUUAUUUUUCAAUUACACUAAUCUUUUCAGUCGUUUCUAUUGAUGGCCUCAAUUUAUUUUGCUUUAUAUAUAUGUUAAAUAACUCUUUACCCUUAUUCUUUUGUUUCUCUCUGGCGUAUAGAUUAAUAAGUUGACCUCUAAUGGUUCAUUUAUAGGCACACCAGAUCAUCGUGGGAUCACUUGAGUCCUUGUUAUCCUGAAAAUACCACUCUGUCUCUUUCUUUCUAGAUAAUCUGGAUUACUUAAUAAGUAGUCGUUUAACCUCCAUUCUCAUCUUUUCUUCUUAAACAUAUUUUUGAUGACUAAGAUUAAUGGACAAUGAUCUGACCAGAUAACUUCUUUGAUCACUAUUUUGUUGGUAUGUUGUACUAAAUAUAAACAAAGAACAAGAAAGGACCACGGCGCUUAAAAUUCUUAUAAUCUGGUGCAGCCAAAAAUUACCCAAGUGUAGUGUCACCUAUUACACUUAAAACGUGAUAAUAUAGAGAAAAGGGUGAAGGUAAUUAGCGCUCACAGAAAAGAAAGAAACGUUACCUUGUACUUAUAGAGAUGAAUAGGGCUUCUAAUAGCCUGAUAACCUACAAAUGGAUACAUAUAACAAACAUAGUGUAAUCUGCAUAUACAAAAAUAAUAGAAAAAGGAGAUGUAUACAUUAAACUCACAAUUUCCAGAGCCUUUUUUUUAAAAGUUGGCUCUAAACUUUGUCGAGCAUAUCGUCUCUUUUGAGACACAAAAGUAAUCCUCAGGAACUUGGAGCUAAUGAUGUAGCAAAACGAUCCUCAGGAGCUUCUAACUGGUAAUAUAGUAGUGCAAUUACUUAUGUAUUUUAUAUACUUUUAUUUGGUGAAAUAAAUUUAAUAAUCUUCUUAAAUAUCUCUGCUGGAGUUUGCUACUAUAUUACCAGUUAGAAGCUCCUGAGGAUCGUUUUGCUACAUCAUUAGCUCCAAGUUCCUGAGGAUUACUUUUGUGUCUCAAAAGAGACGAUAUGCUCGACAAAGUUUAGAGCCAACUUUUAAAAAAAAGGCUCUGGAAAUUGUGAGUUUAAUGUAUACAUCUCCUUUUUCUAUUAUUUUUGUAUAUGCAGAUUACACUAUGUUUGUUAUAUGUAUCCAUUUGUAGGUUAUCAGGCUAUUAGAAGCCCUAUUCAUCUCUAUAAGUACAAGGUAACGUUUCUUUCUUUUCUGUGAGCGCUAAUUACCUUCACCCUUUUCUCUAUAUUAUCAUGUUGUACUAAAUGUAAAUCUCCCAUAAUUAGAUAAAUUCUUCAGUUGGUUAGAUGUGAUUUUGACAUUGUCUUUCGUUGUGGGGUUCAGAAUUCUCCAAAUAUCAUAUAUUGAAUAUUGUUUCAUUAAUGAUUGUAAUCUAGUUGACAUAUCUUUAUUAUUUUUUAUCUUGUUAUUUCUUCCCUCUACUGUACAUCUGUCCUCUUCAAGGUCUGGGACACAAUUAAAAUCUCCCAUUACUAACAGAGUCCCUUGUUUUAAAGUGUCAACUCUUUUUAGCAGUUUGGCUAUAUAUUUUUCAGGAGAUUUAUUCAGAGCAUAUAGAUUUACAAUAGUAAAUGUUAUUUUAUUUAUCUCACAUAUUAAUAUUAUGUAACUUCCUUCCUUAUCUAGUUCUCUGUAUUUUAUAUCCAAUGCAAUAUUGUUUGAAAAUAACAAAGCUACCCCUCUUUUCUUCUUAUCUCCCAAUGAGGCACUUAUUAUAUUUGGGAAUUUUUUUUGAUCUUAGCAAGAUUUUAUCAUUCAGUCUCCAAUGGGUUUCUUGAAUUGUACAGAUGUUUAUAUUUUCCUUCUUCAGGAAAUGUAAUAUUAUUGAUCUUCUUGUUGGAGAAUUAAUCGCCCGCGCAUUAAACAAAACUAUCCGAAUCCUAUAAGACCUUGUUUACUUAUUGUUACAAUCCUAUUGUCUCCCAGGGAUGCAAAACCUAUAAAAUAAAAACUUCCUUCACUAAACUGGAGAAAAAUAUAUUCUACACUCUUACAUUCGUAAUUACAAUGAAAGUAACCCAACCCUGUACUUCCAUCACAUUGAACAUUGGUCAUAUUGACCUUAUUCGAUUGAGUGCGUGGUCACGGCACUCGAUGGCUGGAGCAGAAGCCAAUCCUUUGCAUAUAUAUUCAUCUCAAUGUAGCAAGAAAAAGGGUUUGGAAAAGGAAAGAGGGAGAGAGGAAGAAAUCCAAAUCUGGUAUCUUCUACCACUCUCCCCUCCCACCCCCCUAAAAAUAAAAAUAAAAAUAAAAAUAUUGUUUACAUAUUAAUUUAACAGGGUAUUUACACAAAUCUCUUACUAUAUCUAUAUUUAUCUUUUCUUAAAGUGUAUACCUCCUGUGAUAAUCAUAAACAUUAAACAUCUAUUCACAACAAUUCAAUAUCUGUUUCAUUCUGUGAUAUUCGUGUGAACAAUUAUUCCCUGAUCCACAACACCUUUAUGAACGUCUCCUCCUAUAAUGUUUUUUUCCCUAUGUUUUCACUAUCUAUUAACUUAUUGUAAUUUUGUGAGAGAGAGAAGAAAAAAAAAACAAAAACAAAAAAAACUGAAGUAUUAUUUGCAUAUUAAUUUCGUUUAACAGCAUUUCUACCCAAAUAUCCUACUAUAGCUGUAUCAAUUCUUAAAUGGUAAAACAAAACUAUUGUGCUAAUCCUGUACAUUAAACCUCUUUAUACAUCAUUUCAUUAUCUAUUUCAUUUUGUGAUAAUCAUGUAAACCGUUCCUCCCUGUGAGCUAAGAAUAUAAUUGUGUGUCUAAUUCAGUCCUUAACUACAUCAUAAUGAGUAUAUAUAAAUUUAUGAAUUUAAUACAAUUUUAACCUCUAUAUUUAAAGUGAAUUUCCCCCACGCCAGUUUCUGUGAUUUACACAUUUGUGGUGCCUGCAUCUUUAAAUUAUCCCUGUCAUAGGUGAACAAUUUUCCUUUUCACUCAUAUAAUUCCUAUCCUUUAUAUACCUAUAAGUAGGUGUUACUCUUACUCUAUUUAUAAUUAAUAUUUUGAAAAUUGUGUACUUGACAUAUUUUUAUUAAGAAAAAAAAUGUUAUAAUUCUUCUUGCUGCAAUAAAAUACAAAUUCUUCCCUUAUUGGGGAUGUCACUUAAUAUUCUGUUCUUGGAUCCAUUUUUUUUUCACUUUGUGGGAGAAUCGAAACUCUCUCUUUUUCCAUCUUUGCUACAUUGUAGUCUUGUGAAAACCCCCAUGUGUAUUUUAUAUCAUUGUCUCUUGAGACUUUUGCCAGCAGAGCAAAUUCUCUUCUUUGCUGUCUUGUUUGAAAAGAGAAAUAUGAGAAAACUUUUAUUGAUUCAUAUACUGUGCCUUUUGUUCCAUUUUUUUUUUUUUUUAGAGCUGAGUUGAUUUGUUGUUUUGUUCUGUAUGAAUGACAACAGACUAUGACAUCCCUAGGUAAAUGUGUUAGUGUGUUUGAAGGGUUCUGUAAUCUGUGUAGUCUCUCAAACAGCUCAGAUGGAUUGAUGUUAGGAAUAUUCAGCGCUUUAAGAAAUUCUUCCAUAUAUUGGUUCAAUUGAUUGUUCAAUAUAGAUUCUGGGAUACCUCUUAUUCUAAGAUUCGAUCUUCUGGAUCUGUCCUCCAAGUCUUGUAGUUUUUUUGUUCAAUGCUUUUAAUUUUUUCUUUAAAUUAUGCAUUUAUAUCUUUUUGACCAGAUAUCUGAUUCUCCAACCUUUCUACUUUUUCUUCUGUUUGUUUUAGUUUUGUGCCCAAAUUCAGUAUCUUAGCUCUGAGAUGUUCCGUACUCGACUCCAUUACCUUUUUCAUUUUGAUAAAGUGCAUAUCGAAACAUUCUUAAAGAUUUUAAGGAGUGAUGUUUUUUUUGAUCCUUAUUAUCUUUUAUAUUAUGGGCAUUUAAGUCAAGGUUGUCUCCACCUUGUACCUGAUUACUAUUCUCUUCCAUUAAGGAUGUCUCUUUAACUACCUUGGGAUCCAUCGCUGUAAAGAAGUUCGAAAGUCCUUUUUCAGGUUUCUGUUCUUGUUUCUUAUCUUUCCUUAAAUGUAACUGUUUCGUUUCUUGUGUACCUUUCUUGUUAGACAUUUUAUAGUAAGGCUCCCGCUGAGUAAACAGGAAUUACUUAGUAAAUUUAAUUCCUUAAUAGGUGAAAGAAUCUAUGUAUCUUCUUUGUCCCAAAAGAUGCUGGCUUCUUAUUAGAGCCUAAGUUGACUUAUAUUGUUCUUUCUUGGGGUUUAAUUCCUGUAUAUUUAUUUUUCUAAAUCACCAUGUAUCAUCACACUCUCUCUAAGAUCCACACUACUAUUUUAGAUUCUCGGAGAUAGUAAAAUUACAGGUUAUACCAUUUAGGGCAUCUUUUUUGGUAUAUAAUGCACCUGAAUCCAGAGGCGGCUCUCUAAUUAGGCGGUUUAGGCGGCCGCCUAAGUCCUCGCACUGGCUGGGGCCUCGCGGCCGCCUAAACCGCCUGUGGGCAGUCUGUGUCAGGCCCUCGGUCAGUGACCGAGGACCUGACACCAGUAGGGGGCCCGGCGGCUUGCCGGGUAUGCCGCCGGCUGCGAGGCCCCUCCUGGCUGCCCGGCCACCAUCGCAGACACAGGUCUGCAGCUCCGCAGUGUGCAGAGCUGCAGACCAUGUGUCUCGCGAGACCUGGCCAAUCAGAGCGUUGCCGUGGGUUACCACGGAUACGCUCUGACAUCUCGCAAGAUUACAUAGUGUGCAGCUCUGCGGAGCUGCAGACCGGAAGCAAUGACCACCGGACCACCAGGGAGGUAAGGUAAGCUCUCUCACCCCCCCCUUCACCUUCACCCUCACCACCCCCACCACCCUCAGCCUUAAACCUCACCACCCCCCACCACCCUCAGCCUCACCACAGCCCCCUUCACCCCAGGCUUCGACCCCCUUCACCCUCCCCUUCACCUCAGCCUCACCACCCCCACCCUCACCACCCCACUUCAGCCUCACCACCACCCUCAGCCUCACCACCCCCUUCAGCCUCACCACCCCACCUCACCACCCUCAGCCUCCCACCCCCUCAGCCUCACCACCCCCUUCACCCUCAGCCUCACCACCCCCCACCACCCUCAGCAUCACCCCUCACCACCCUCAGCAUCCCACCCUCCCCACCACCCUCAGCAUCACCCCCCUCCCUCUCACAUUAUCCCCCCUCCCUCACUCUCACCAUCACCCCUCACACCAUCGCCCCCUACUCACCAUCACCCGCCUCUCCCUCUCACCAUCACCACCCCCCAUACACACGUCAAGCAGCUACCCCAUACACAUAGAGUCUCAGACAAAAACGCAAACAUGCUCACAGAGACAUACAUUUACACACAAGGAUACUCUCUGUAAGACACACUCUCAGCAGGGACGUUUUAGCCGCGAGGCAAACAAGGCAUUUGCCUUGGGCGGCAUUUUCCAGGUGGCUGCAAAAAAAAAAAACGCCCCCAAAUACCCAGGACAAAUGUCUUGUUAGCCUUGCGGCUAACUAACAGACACAUGUGUCUGAUGGCCGGGCUGGCUGCUGCGGGGGCGGUCGGGGGGCGCUGGCGGAUGGCGAGGGAGCUGUCUGCUCAGCUCCCUCGCGUGCCGCAGAGUGAGUUUGGGAGCCGGAAUAUGACGGCAGCGCGCGAGGGAGCUGAGCAAACAGCUCAGAGGAAGUGCUCCCUCGCCAGCUGCCCGCCAGUGCCCCCCGACCGCCAGCAGCCACUGGACCCCCAGGGAGAAAGAGACCCCCCCCCAGCAUUCCCAAAGGUAAGGAGGCUGGGUUAAAUAAAAAAAAAUGUGUUAAUGUGAGUGUGUGUGUAUGUCUGUUAGCGUGUGUCUGUUAGUGCGUGUGUCUGUUAGUGUGUUUGCCUGUUAGUGUGUGUGUGUUAGUGAGUGUGUGUCUGACUGUGUGAGUGUCUGUUAGUGAGUGUGUGUCUGUUAGUGUGUGUGUGAGUGUUUUUCUGUUAGCAAGUGUGUUUCUGUUAGCUAGUGUAUGCGUAUCUGUCAGUGAAUGUGUGUGUAUUUAGAAAACAGGGUGGGGGGGAAGGGUUGGGUGGGGGCGGCGCGUGGGGAGUGGAAGGGGGGUGCCUGAGUUUUGUCCUGCCUAGGGCAGCACAAAACCAGGAUACACCACUGACUCUCAAGCACAUACAGGUAAACUGUGCAUCAAUGUGACACUUUUUUCUUAGUGAUGCCUCAUGUUUGAGUUUUGCCUAAGGCCUCAUAAAGUCUACAGCCGCCUCUGCUGGUUAACUAGUGUUUACUGAUGAUGUGACAGAAGCAGCCAGAUGAAUUCUGAAAUGUAUAGGGGCUAUCUGCUAAGAUUCAGACAAAUUUUGAGAAGUUGAUUGGAUGGCGCUUCACAUUACAGAUGGAAAGCAACCCAAGAGUUUUUUAAGGCAAAGAAGUGGAAUAUUCUGCAAUGGUCGAGUCAAUCACCUGAUGUCAACCUGAUCCAAGUAUGCAUUUCACUUGCUGAAGACAAAACUUAAAGCAGAUAGACCAAUGAACAAACAACAACUGAAGACAGCCGCAGUAAAGCAUCACAGAGGAGGAAACCCAAUGUUUGGUGAUGUCCAUUUUUACAGACUUCAAGCAGUUAUUGCCUGUAAAGGGUUCUCGAC
rnacentral:lncRNA from 1 species